AGGCACAGCACAGGGCUUAACCUGGCUCGGCUGAGAGAUGGGUUGCUGAAGGACUCAGAGUGGCAGCUGCAACAGGGCGUCACUCACUAUCUAAGUACAUUCAUUUCUGAGCUCAAAAGGAAGAGCUUAAGCGGGCGGCAGCUGGAGUGUAAAUUGCUUUGUAGUAUUUAAAAGGAGCAUGGAUCAUGGGGAGCUGAGCUGGUACGAGCAAGAGAAACUACUGAAUGGAACUGUGCUGGGACUGGAUCUAUAUGUUCUCAGAAGAUACUGAAGCUUCUUGAUUAUUCCCACUUCUCAAGACACAAGGAGUUCAGUGAUCAGAAGAUGAAAUUGAAUAGGCUUAUUAUAGAUUCUACACUUAGAGAGAUUACUCAACAGAGUGAAGUGCAUCUCAAGUAUGUAUGUGGAAUUCAUAACUAUAUAGUAUAUCACGAGAAAUGGCGACAAUGUUCAGACAUGUAUUCAGCAUGAAGGGACUGCCUUCUACAGUAGCCUGUUCAUGUCAGGGACCUGGCAAGGGCAUCACACUAAUGAUUAGAGCAAAGCUAGAAGAAUAGCAAACAUUUGAACAUCAAUGACAUCACUGCUGGACAACCUAUAGUUACAAGUUUAAAAAAGGAAACACAGAUUAGUU